UGAUUUUUCCACUCUUCUACUAACCAAAAUAAAAAUUUUUUAACAAAGAUCUACGUACAUCUUAAUAAAAGUUCUGGCUGUAAAAAAACCAUUAUUAUCAAUUAAUUAAUAAAGUUGAUGGUGACGUAAAAUAUUAUUAAAAUUAGUAUCAUUAAAUGCAGUUUUGAAAUAUAUUAAUAUGAAGACCAGAUCAACACGUCAUAAAUGGAAAGAUACAUUUCAGCUUGCAGAAGGGAAGAAAACGACGAGGAAGUGGAAAUGUAUUUUCAUGAAACGACACAAAAAUGGAAUGUCCUGAAAUUAACAUAUGACUAUUGCCGUUCUAAAAUAUAAAUGAGAAAAAUUAUUAGAAUUUUGUAAUCGCUCGAUAAGGAACAAUAUAUCAUCGAACGUUUCUAAAAUAUAUAUAGUUAAAAAUUAAAUGAGACAACAAAUUAUCCAGGAAAACUCGGAAUUAUCUACAAAUGAAAAUAAGCUUAUCUCUAAAAACAGUGAAAAAGAAAACGAAGAUGGUAAUGACGAUAAUGAAAACGUGAUGAUGAAAAUAAUACUUUAGUUGACCAAGACAAAGAAGAAAGAAUGGAAUAAUAUGAAAUUAAAUAAUGAAAAUAUUUUAUAUAUUUAGAAGAUAAAGAUGAAACGACAGAUGCACAUUUGUUUGUCAUACGAAAACAUAUUGAAUUUUCAUAAUAUAGACCAAACUAUAAUUCGAUAAAUAUGCAACAUUAGAGAAUUAUGGUUAUGCGAAUCUGAUACUUUCAAGAUUUUAACUUGGAUUAUAAUCGAGCGAUUACAAAUAGGUUUCCAUUCAUAAAAUUCAUAAAAUUAGUGAAUAUAUUUGUCAAAAAUUUAAUUCUCAUCGUAUAGAUCUCGAAAUAAGUUAAAAGUCAUAUUGUUUACUCAGAUAACGAUUAUUGAUUAUAUAAAAAGAGUAAUACUUUAACUCUUACUUGACUACUGAAAUGAUUAAGAAAAACUAUAGCUAUAGAAGUAAUUGAGGCACUUAGUUUGUUAUCAGUGGUAUCACUCCAUUUAAUAUUAAUUAGGAUCUCUAUUCUAAGUAUACAAAUUUAUUAUGUUCAGAGAAAUACAAUAUUCAAAUGGGCCAGUGAUAUAAUAGGUACUAUAUAAAUGGGAACAUUAAAUGAAAUACUUUUUAAUGUAAAGUCUCUUUUGAUACAGGAAAUGUCCAGGAUUAUAGAAUCAUCUACUUUUGGAAAAAUUGACAAAGGAGAUAACUUCUGUGACAAAGAAAUAAAUGCGUAAGGAAGAAAAUACGAAAUUCUAUAGUAAAAGACAACAAAACUGCAACAAGAAAAGAUAUAUAAGCUGCAGGUAAUGUAUCGUAAUUAGUUCUACUACAAAUUUGUGGGAGAAUUGAAAUUAGCAAUAUAGGAAGAAACCUAAAAUUAUGCAACAAAGGAAGAAAGUAAACAAGAAGAAAAACGCUUAGUAAACAUAUUCAGUUAUAUGCAUCUGCACCUCUGCUGACACGCUUUUCCACAUUACAAUAAAUUCAUGGUACUGAUGUGAUAUUGCCGCAUCUUGAUAUAUCUCACACUUUUCCUCUGUGUUUCCACUGUGCAAUUGCUUCUUUUAAAGGAAUAGUGUUUUAUCGCUGAACAAGAAGAAGAAGGAAAGUCAGUUUUAAUUCAGUAGUCAACAGUUUUAAUUAGAGAAUGUCUGAACUGAAUCUUUCCAAUCGGUUCAUAACUCUGUAAAUCUAUUUAUAUACAUAUUUGUGUUAUAUUUAAUCAUUUUUUACUCCUUAAAUUUUAUUAAUUGCUAACGAUUGACCUAUACUAUUUCUUACAAAUAUGUAGGAAGAAAAAUAAACUAUGCGAAUGUUUGAAUUGUCAGAAAAUAAGCGUAAAUAAUUUUUUAUUUCAAUCGUACAGUUAAUUUCUUUUAUUUUAUAGUAUUUCGUACUAAUUACAUUCGAAUUGUAUUUUUUUCUGUGUAUAUAUAUUUCGAUGUAAGCCAUUUCAAAAGUAUCUCAAUAAUUAUUAAUAUAUUACUUUAUUUUCUCGCACACAUGUUGAUUAAGUUCUUUGAAAAAUUUCUAAUUUUGUGUCUGAAUAUACAAAAAAUAGAGGUUUUGUCAUUUGUAAAUAGUUAUGUUAAAUUUUACAAAAUAUAUAUAAAUUAUAAAAUCAAUCAUAAAUAAUGAAAUAUAUUAAAAUUAUAAAUCAUUCUGUAUUAUAUUAAAAGUUAUAUUUUAUGGUUGUUCGAAUAAAAUGUAAAGUUAGGUAGGAAUUGAGAGUCACUGUUACGUUUCUCACAAGUGCUCAGAUGGUUUACUAUUCCUAUAUAAUAAAUUUCCAAGCUUAAUAGUAACGAAGUUUCUUCGUGCGUCAAUUCGGAGCCACUAGCGGAGUUCGUCAGUAACUCUCAACUUGCUUUGAGGAAAGUCCCUGGACCUUCGGCAGAGAGUGCCGUAACUUAGCUGUUAUAAGCCUUUUUCUUCGCCGUCUUUCUCGAUUAUAGGAUAGGAAGCCUUUGGCUGAUCUUUUCGAGAUUGGGCGAGAGUGUAUUGGUCAAAGCAAAGUUUUCGAUGUGUUCGAGACGCGAAUUUUUAUCCAUCUUGUAUGGAUGAAUCUUCGUAUCUAACUGAACAGGGCUUUCAGCGAGGAAACUUCUUCU